UACGUAGGGGGCUAGCGUUGUCCGGAAUCAUUGGGCGUAAAGAGCGUGUAGGCGGCUCGGUAAGUCCGCUGUGAAAGUCCAGGGCUCAACCCUGGAAUGCCAGUGGAAACUGUCGAGCUAGAGUCCGGAAGAGGCGAGUGGAAUUCCUGGUGUAGCGGUGAAAUGCGCAGAUAUCAGGAGGAACACCAAUGGCGAAGGCAGCUCGCUGGGGGUUUGCAGACGCUGAGACGACGAAAGCCAGGGGAGCAAACGGG
rnacentral:rRNA from 1 species